rnacentral:rRNA from 1 species
GAUGAACGCUGGCGGCGUGCUUAACACAUGCAAGUCGAACGGUGAAGCGCCUUCCUUUUUGGUGGGUGUGGAUGAGUGGCGAACGGGUGAGUAACACGUGAGUAACCUGCCCCCUUCUGCUGGAUAACCGCAUGAAAGUGUGGCUAAUACGUGAUAUUCUGGGUCUGUCGCAUGAUGGGUCUGGGACAGAUUUUGUUUCGCUUGGGGAUGGGUCCGCGACGUAUCAGCUUGUUGGUGGGGUGAUGGCCUACCAAGGCGGUGACGGGUAGCCGGCCUGAGAGGGUGGACGGUCCCAGUAAGACUGAGCGGCCACGCGGACUACUACGGGAGGCAGCAGUGGGGCAUAUGGCACAAUGGGCACAAGGCUGGUGCAGCGACGCCGGAGGAGGGAUGGAGGCCUGCGGGUUAUGAACCUCUUUCGCCAGAGAAGCAGGCCUGACUCGUUUGUGCGUAGGUUGACGGUAGCUAGAGAAAAAGCGCCGGCUAACUACGUG